GGCCAUACUGGGAGGCCCUGGGUCAUACUGGGAGGCACGGGGUCAUACUGGGAGGAACUGGGAGGCACUGGGUCAUACUGGGAAGCACUGGGAGGCACUGGGUCAUACUGGGAGGCACUGUGUCAUACUGGGAGGCACUGGGUCCUACUGGGAGACACGGGGUCCUACUGGGAGGCAGUGGGUCCUACUGGGAGGCACUGGGAGGCACCAGGCCAUACUGGGAGGCACUGGGAGGCACUGUGUCAUACUGGGAGGCACUGGGCCAUACUGGGAGGCACUGGGCGGCACUGUGUCAUACUGGUCCCCCCCCCGGUUCCGCUGCGGCGGCCCAGAAGGAGGAGCGUUACAAACGGCACCGGCAGAAGCCACGGCACCGCGAGCGGAACCGGCACCAGGAGCGCUGCGACGCCCGCGACCCCGCGGGUUUGGGCCAAUGCCUGGGGCCCGGCUGCACCCGGCCCGCGCGCCCGCCUUCCAAGUACUGCAGCGAGGCCUGCGGGGUCAAACUGGCCGCCAAGUGAGUCGGGGGGGGGCGGCGCUGGGCACCACUGGGCACCAUUGGGCACCAUUGGGCACCAUUGGGCAGCAGGAUGCACCAUUGGGCACCACGAUGCACCAUUGGGCACCAGGAUGCACCACGAUGCACCAUUGGGCACCACGAUGCACCACGAUGCACCGUUGGGCACUAGGAUGCACCAGGAUGCACCACGAUGCACCACUGGGCACCACAAUGCACCAGGAUGCACCACUGGGCACCAUUGGGCACCAUUGGGCACCAUUGGGCACCACGAUGCACCAUUGGGCACCAGGAUGCACCAUUGGGUACCAUUGGGCACCACUGGGCACCAGGAUGCACCACUGGGCACCAUUGGGCACCAGGAUGCACCAGGAUGCACCAUUGGGCACCACGAUGCACCAUUGGGCACCAGGAUGCGCCACUGGGCACCAGGAUGCACCAUUGGGCACUAGGAUGCACUAUUGA
rnacentral:lncRNA from 1 species